rnacentral:rRNA from 1 species
UACGAAGGGGCCUAGCGUUGUUCGGAUUUACUGGGCGUAAAGCGCGCGUAGGCGGAUCGCUAAGUCAGGGGUGAAAUCCCAGGGCUCAACCCUGGAACUGCCUUUGAUACUGAGGAUCUUGAGUUCGGGAGAGGUGAGUGGAACUGCGAGUGUAGAGGUGAAAUUCGUAGAUAUUCGCAAGAACACCAGUGGCGAAGGCGGCUCACUGGCCCGAUACUGACGCUGAGGCACGAAAGCGUGGGGAGCAAACAGG